GGAUAUAGUUCAGUUGGUAGAGCGCCAGAUUGUGGCUCUGGAUGUCGUGGGUUCGAGUCCCACUAUU
rnacentral:tRNA from 1 species